GAUAGUGGCAUUACCUUGUUGUCUGAUCUUGUCAGAUCUCAGCAGCUAUAAAAUAUUGGGACUGGGUCAGUACUAGGAUAGGAGACUUCUAAGGAAAACCGGCUUGCCACUGCUG
rnacentral:rRNA from 1 species